rnacentral:tRNA from 1 species
GAGGGUGUAGCUCAGUGGUAGAGUGCAUGCCUAGCAUACGUGAGGUCCUUGGUUCAAUCCCCAGUACCUCCA